CCGGAAUCAUUGGGCGUAAAGGGUCCGCAGGUGGCCAAUCAAGUCGGCUGUUAAAGACCGGGGCUUAACUCCGGGCAGGCAGUGGAAACUGAUUAGCUAGAGUACGGUAGGGGUAGAGGGAAUUCCCAGUGUAGCGGUGAAAUGCGUAGAUAUUGGGAAGAACACCGGUGGCGAAAGCGCUCUACUAGGCCGAAACUGACACUGAGGGACGAAAGCUAGGGUAGCGAAAGGGAUUAGAUACCCCUGUAGUCUUAGCUGUAAACGAUGGAUACUAGGUGUAGCUCGUAUCGACCCCAGCUGUGCCAAAGUUAACGCGAUAAGUAUCCCGCCUGGGGAGUACGCACGCAAGUGUGAAACUCAAAGGAAUUGACGGGGGCCCGCACAAGCGGUGGAGUAUGUGGUUUAAUUCGAUGCAACGCGAAGAACCUUACCAGGGCUUGACAUGUCGCGAAUCUAGCGGAAACAUUAGAGUGCCUUAGGGAAUGCGAACACAGGUGGUGCAUGGCUGUCGUCAGCUCGUGUCGUGAGAUGUUGGGUUAAGUCCCGCAACGAGCGCAACCCUCGUCCUUAGUUGCCAAUAUUAAGUUAGGCACUCUAGGGAUACUGCCGGGGACAACUCGGAGGAAGGUGGGGAUGACGUCAAGUCAGCAUGCCCCUUACGUCCUGGGCGACACACGUACUACAAUGGUUGGGACAAAGGGCAGCAAGCUCGCGAGAGUAAGCGAAUCUCAUCAAACCCAGCCACAGUUCAGAUUGCAGGCUGCAACUCGCCUGCAUGAAGUAGGAAUCGCUAGUAAUCGCAGGUCAGCAUACUGCGGUGAAUUCGUUCCCGGGCCUUGUACACACCGCCCGUCACACCAUGGAAGCUGGCUACGCCCGAAGUCGUUACCCUAACCCUAAGGGGAGGGGGAUGCCGAAGGUAGAGCUAGUGACUGGGGUGAAGUCGUAACAAGGUAGCCGUACCUGAAGGUGUGGCUGGAUCACCUCCUUU
rnacentral:rRNA from 1 species